AAUCUACUCCCUCCGUUCCGAAUUACUUGUCUUGAAUUUGUCUAGAUACGGAUGUAUCUAGACUCAUUUUAGUGGUAGAUACCUCCGUAUCUAGACAAAUCUAAAACAAGUAAUUUGGAAUGGAGGGAGUAGAAG
rfam:Triticum urartu cultivar G1812 contig1105814, whole genome shotgun sequence.